GCGUUGCCCAUGCUGAGGCAGACCUGCCCGUUGAGCUGCAGGCCCAGCCGGCCGCCCUGCGUGCUCAGGCAGGUCCGGCAGUAGGACACGGUCUUGGCGAACUCGCACAGCUUCUCGUUGCUGCGGGCCAGGUUGAGACCCUACCAAUAGAGAUGAAUCAAAAUCAAUUCAAUGAAUGGAACAAGAUGUUAUCAAGGUAUAUUUGGCAAGUGAGGUACGGCUCAGGAACCAGUCCUGGCUCCAAUCCUCUCCUGUCUUGUCCCAGGAUGGACAGAAGAACUGAAACCCUUGAGAGUGAGACAAAGUGACUGCCCAGGACAUCCAGGGAAGUGGCAUCAGGUAUCUCAAUGGAAACCAUUGGGGAGGAGUCAUGAGCCAGCAUGAUAGAAUGAUAGACCAGUCACAAUUGCUGUCAUAGCACAGAGUACUGCCACAGGCACUUGACCUUGGAGAUGAUUCUUUUAGGCAGUUAUCAGUGAUGGUCUGGUCUAUUCAGCAUCUCUAAUGAUAGAAACAUAGAAAACCUACAGCACAAUACAGGCCCUUCAGCCCACAAAGCUGUGCUGGAUACAUCCCUACCUUAGAAAUUACCUAGUGUUACCAAUAGCCCUCUAUUUUUCUAAGCUCCACGUACCUAUCCAGGAGUCUCUUAAAAGACCUUGUCAUUUCCGCCUGUACCACUAAUAAUGAAAGGUGAUCUUUGAUGAAGAAUUGGUGAUAAUCAAUGAUCAGCGUCCAGUUCCAUUGGUAUCCUCAGCAAAUUAAUCAGUUAAAGCCCUCAGCAGGACGUUAGGGUUGGCUGGCCAGUAAGAUUUGAACCAGGCAUCACGUCAUCAACGAGAGUAUCUCACCAUUUAUCCUUGAAGAUGGGGUGCAGGGCCACGAGCGACUAUUUCUCACCAAUUGAAACAUCAAGGUGAAUGCGGAGGAGGCCGGGUCGGUGGUCACUCCCCAUGGGAGGCCGCAUCUUGAGGAACUAAGGCUCCACAGGACUGUGUUCAAGCUACAACUCUCCUCAAUGUUGACAGAGGAUGUUUUUGAAAUUCUGAGACACAUGAUUAUUGUUUCUAUUUUAUAGUUUUUCUGUGGUUUAUAUUAGUCUCCUUCAGUUUUUCUCUUCUUGUUGCUGAUUGGCAGGUGGGCGGUACGUUACUUCUUUUUGGGGUGAAUUUGAUGUUAUUUUUUGUGUGGGAGGGGCUUGGAGUUAAGGGUUUGGUGGGUAACCUGUUAGUUUUUCUGUGAAGGAGAGACUGGGGAAGUUUGGGGCUUGCAAUAUUUGUUUAUUUUUCUUUUAGACCAUGAGGGUGUUUUUUCUGUAUUUCAUGGCUAUCUGGAGAUGAAUCUCAUUUGUAUUUGGUGUACAUACUUUUGAUAUAAAAUUAACCUUUGAAUCCUUGAUGUUAAGUGACAGUGCCACUGCUAGGUCCUUACAUUGAAAGGGGUUGAGAUGGGGUACCAUUUAACAGCAUGCUAACUGAACCCUGCACUGACAUACCAUGGUUACUUGGCAAAAGUGUGGUCUUCCAGUCGAGUGCAGACCUUCAUUCAUGCAGCCACAUAAUCAAGCAGUUAGCAGCACAACCACCCAUUCAGUCUAGUGGUGUAUCAGCUCAGUGCGCACACCUGUGAUGCACUGUGAAAUACUGGCAGGGUUUGUUCCUCCUGUCACCUUCAGCCCAGAGAAGGCAGCAGGCAAGCAGACAGGAACAGCAUCUCCUUGCUUUCCUUCAACUCAACUGCAAAUACUGCUAACACUAAACUGAAGUGGGAAGCGGGUACAAGUUAUUGUUCAGCCAGCUGUGGGAGUGUGCAGACUUGUAAUGGAUAUUGGUGGUUCUUUUAGUGGCAUCUGUGGGGACAGAAUUUCUUUCCAAGUCAUCAGAUCUCCUUCCCAAUUCUCAUGGGAAAUUUAAAACUUUGGCUGUUUCUUUCCAUGGCUGCUGGCCUGAGGAAGGUUUCCAGCUGCAACUGCUUUUAUUUCACAUUUCCAGCAACUGCAGUUUUGAUUUUAAUUGCAUCUUCAACAAAAUCAAUAUUGCAAUAUUGUUGAUGUUGAGAACCUUCACUUUUUGAAUAUCUCUCUGAAGCUUUGUCUGAAAUGUACUCAAAUAUGAUUUAACCUUUGCAAAAAGACUGAAUUAAGAUAUUGACUUAAGUUAAAAGAUUUCAAGUGAUAGUCUCAACAUUACACCCCAAAAUUGGAAAGAAAUGUAGAAUUGCGACACAGCAUAAUGACAAACUUCUAUAGAUAUGUAGAGAGUAUCGAUUGGUUGCAUCAUAGUCUGCUACUGAAACACAAAUGCUAUUGAGCAGAAAAUCCUUUGAAAAGGUAGUGGAUAAGGCCCAGUCCAUCAUGGGUAUAUCUUUUCCCAUUGAGCACAUCUACACAGAACACUGUCGUAGGAAAGCAGCAUCAUUAAGGACCCCCACCACCUUGGCCAUACUUUCUUCUCGCUGCUGCCAUCAGGAAGGUACAGGAGCCUCAGGACUCACAUCAGCAGCUUCAGGAAGUUAUCAAGAGCCAUCAGGCUCUUGAAUCAAUGGGGAGAACUUCACUCAUCUCAUCACUGAACUGUUCCCACGACCUAUGGUCUCGCUUUCAAAGACUCCACCUCAGUUUCUUACUAUUUAUUUCUUAUUAUUUUCUAUUUUUUUCUUUUAUAUUUGUAGCUUGUUACCUACCACCAAGCUUAAAUGACAGCUUCUAUCCUCCUGUUAACAGACCUUUAAUGGACCUCUCAUAUUCUAAAGGUGAAUUCCAUCUCAGUCAACAUCACGAACCUUGUAUUUUGCUUCCCUGCACUGUCUAUGCAACUACAUCACUAUAUUCUGCUUUUUUUUCCUUUGCACUGCUGUGAAGUUAGCAAGGAAUGAUCUGUCUGGAUGGCAUGCAAAUCAAAAAUUUUCACUGUAUCAUAAGAGAUUUUCAGAAUUAGGCCAUUCAGCCCAUUGAGUCUACUCAGCCAUUCAAUCAUCCCUCUCAACCCCAUUCUCCUGCCUUCACCUUUGGCACCCUUAGUAACCCUGUACAAGUGACAAUAAUAAACUAAUUACCAUUUUAAAGAACUUCAACCUAUUUACUAUGGUUUCUUAAAUAAAAAAGACGAUUAAACCUUUGGAUGUAAAAGUUAGCCAAGUUAUGUUUGAAUUAUUCAGAUAAACACUUAUGUAGGAAAGACAUAGAAAGAUAUGGACCGAAUGCAGACAAAUAGGAUUAACGUAGAUAGGCAAAAAGUUUGGUUUGGGUGUGGUGGUUCAAAGUUGCAUCGAUCUUGGGUUAAAAUUCUUUAGAUCUUUAUCUAACUUGUUGUGAUGGUGCCUUCACAAGCACUCUUUGCAGAUUCACAAUAAAUGAUAAUUGCUGUACAAAAAAAGCAAUUCUCACACUCCAGGAAUGAAUGAAAACAAAGACUGAUCCACAUUGAAUGACAUCUUCCAUAGACAGCCACGUAUUAAAGAAAGGAGGCAAGUGACAGAAUCUUCUCAAACUGUUUAAUAGUAAAUGCUAAACAAGGUACCACAGUUUCAUAUAAAAUGUCUGCAAAUCUGUGUGUGCAGUUUAAAAAAAACUUAGUACCUAGUCAAGACAAAAAUAGUAAGAAAAAUCUGAAGCAAAUACCAGCUUUAUUCAAACUUGCAACACUUUGCCAUACCUCUACAGUUUGCUCCAAAACAACUUACAAGUGGUUCUCUUCCAUCUUUUCUAAUUAACUCAAUGAAUUGUCUCAAGGUUACAUCACACAGAAAAGAAAAUACACACAGAUAAUAACACUUCAGGGGAAAAAAAAGCUUUUUCUUUGUAAUGAGAGCAAAAUUGCAUCUUACUUUAGUAGAGAGGUUUGGUCAUUGUGGCAAACGUUUAGAAAUCAAUAUCAUUCACAUUUGUUAAUCAUUUUAUAAUCCUCGUAUAAAAGGCAAAGUUGUACAAAACCUACAGAGUUAAAUACAAUCAGUUUGUACCAAAAAAAGCCCACAGGAUUCUAAAAUGUUUGUUAACUUACAAAGCAGCAAGGGUUUGGAAAAACAGUCACUGAAAUAUUUGUUUUCAAUGCUUACAUUAUCAAAAGAUAACAAGAUGGCAAUUAAAUAUUCAUGAAGCAUUUUCCACAGGAUUCUGGCAAAGACCACUGAGUACUUGUGAAGAAGCUGGAGGAUUGGCAAUGGAACUGUGCUUGGGUGAGACAGCAAUCCCCUCCAGCAUACAUCAUCCCUAAUACCCCUUCAACUAUACCCUCUAGUCAGUGGCAGUUGUGAAGGACCCUGGCAUGAGGUCUGGGUUUAUCACACUGGGGCACUUACUGCGCUAAGUGCUCAGCUGGAAGAGGAGACUGAGGCUGUUUCACAGACAGUAAUCCAAAUAGGCUGCAAGUAGUUUCACUGUGCAGCUAGCCUCUGCAGCCAGGUCUGGUCAAAAUCAAUCCCAAAUGGCAGACUAGUUAAUCAGUGCACUACACCCUGGAACAAUAGAUCAGCAGAGGGGAAGUUGAUAAAACUGUUCAAAUAAUGCUUCUUCAUUCAGUAAAUAAUUUGUAGGUUUAGCUAUUCUUACUGUGUAUUGGGAUCUCCAUAACCAGCUGUAGUCCUGCCCUGUCAUCUGCUUACUUGUGCUGGUGGGUGCAGUCAUAGGGCAUUUAGUGGGUCAAAGGAUGAGGCAAAAUAACCAAUGCCAGUGUCAAACCCAGAAAACCCGAAGGUGGGGUUGAUUUAGGGAGGAGCAGAUUUGAGGGGAGUGGACAGUGUCUGAGAAUUUGUGGCUGGUGUAUUUUGGGUGGAGGUUGAACAGUUGGUACUUGAGGAUGAAGUGCAUGGCUGCAGAUGGAUGGCACAUUAAUGCUAGUGGAUGGUGGGGGAAAUGGAGGAAAGUUAAGGCUGGGUUGGAGAGAAGUGAGUGUUUUUUAGGGAUACAGUUUGGUGAUGAGGAAGCGACACCAACCAGAUGCCUGCGACAGGAUGGAGUAGGGAGGGAAAGGCAGAGGUUAACUCUUGGCGCUACCUCAUACCAUUUGGUAACUAGUCAUGGUGACCAUAGUGGGAAAACACAUUUGUCAUGUAUCCAAUAAUCAACUCAGCCCUUGCAAAACGUCUCACUUCCAAAACUGACACAGCCACUGGGAUUACUUUGUGGAAAGUCAGCUAACUCCCCAAAAUCUUUAAAACCAAACAAUCUGUAAACAAAAACACUGCACACAUACCAGCAGGGCAGCUGGGAACCGCUUUAACAUCAGGGUCAAAGCGAACAGAGGGGUGGGCUUCAACUGGAUGUUACCUGGUCUCCCCACUGUAUUUGCCAUGAGACAGUUCAAAAAUAUACUUUAUUUAAACCUCCAACUCAAUUGUAUUUUUCCUUUAUCAAACAGAAAAUUCAAAGUCAGGAAGACAGAAAAGCUGUACAAAGUGUAAAAGGCUGUAACAUGCAAAUAACACUUGGCACUAAAUCAAUUUAACAAUUCACAUCACAUCUUGCUGAGGGUUUGAGCAUAGAUACAAUACAUGCAAGGUAUAAUCAGACCAAACUUGACAACAUUAAACUAAAGACUUCCUUAUUAUUUCUUCAAACUUUUGCUUCAGACACUUACUGCUAACGUUAGAAAACCAAAGUGCCAAAAAAAAACCCCAAGGGAAGUGGGCGACACUUUGUAAAAGCUAUUCAAGUAUUUCUUUAUUGAUGUCACUCCAGUAUUCUGAGGAGGGUGGGACAUGGAGCAAUGAGAAGUGGGAGUGGGGUAAAGGAAGGAGUGGAUGAGGGGGGGAGAGGGGAGUAGGGAUAAGUGAUAGACGGGGUAAGGCAGGGGGAGGCAGUUGUAGGUAGAAGGGGUUGAAGAUGUGGAUGGGAAGGAUAAGGGACAGACCAGAAGGGGAAGGGAGUGGUGAAUGGCACAAAGAGUGGCUGGGUGUUGGGGGGGGGGGGGGGGGGGAGAGACAGGAGGUGGAUAAAGAA